GAUUAACGCUGGCGGCGUGCAUAACACAUGCAAGUCGAACGAUGAAACUUUAAUGAACCCUUCGGGGAGAAUUAAAGCGGAUUAGUGGCGAACGGGUGAGUAACGCGUGAGUAACCUGCCUUACACAAGGGGAUAGCCUUUGGAAACGAAGAAUAAUACCCUAUAAAACCAUAAAAGCACAUGCAAUUAUGGUCAAAGUGAUAGCGGUGUAAGAUGGACUUGCGUCUGAUUAGCUAGUUGGUGAGAUAAAAGCCCACCAAGGAAACGAUCAGUAGCCGGCUUGAGAGAGUGUACGGCCACAUUGGGACUGAGACACGGCCCAGACUCCUACGGGAGGCAGCAGUGGGGAAUUUUGCACAAUGGGGGAAACCCUGAUGCAGCGACGCCGCGUGAUUUAGAAGGCCUUCGGGUUGUAAAAAUCUUUUGUAUAGGAAGAAAAUGACAGUACUAUACGAAUAAGGUCCGGCUAAUUACGUG
rnacentral:rRNA from 1 species